GGGCGUGUAGCUCAACGGUAGAGCAGUGGCCUUUUAAGCCAUUGGUUGGGGGUUCGAAUCCCUCCACGCUCA
rnacentral:tRNA from 1 species